GAUGAACGCUGGCGGCGUGCCUAAUACAUGCAAGUCGAGCGAACAGACGAGGAGCUUGCUCCUCUGACGUUAGCGGCGGACGGGUGAGUAACACGUGGAUAACCUACCUAUAAGACUGGGAUAACUUCGGGAAACCGGAGCUAAUACCGGAUAAUAUAUUGAACCGCAUGGUUCAAUAGUGAAAGACGGUUUUGCUGUCACUUAUAGAUGGAUCCGCGCCGCAUUAGCUAGUUGGUAAGGUAACGGCUUACCAAGGCGACGAUGCGUAGCCGACCUGAGAGGGUGAUCGGCCACACUGGAACUGAGACACGGUCCAGACUCCUACGGGAGGCAGCAGUAGGGAAUCUUCCGCAAUGGGCGAAAGCUUGACGGAGCAACGCCGCGUGAGUGAUAAAGGUCUUCGGAUCGUAAAACUCUGUUAUUAGGGAAGAACAAAUGUGUAAGUAACUAUGCACGUCUUGACGGUACCUAAUCAGAAAGCCACGGCUAACUACGUG
rnacentral:rRNA from 1 species